ACGCUGAAUGUGGCGUAGCUCAACAUUUGACUCGCCCCAACAGGUGAGCCUCCUGCCAGUUGCAGGGAGCCAGCCAGCCAGCCCCAAGCUUCGGAACGCUUGGCGAAAAGAGAGCAAACGAACAAGCAAGCAAACAAACGAGCGAGCGAGCACGAGAGUCAGAGUCAUCGAGACAGAUUGAGAGAGAGCGAGUGAUACACAGAGACAGAGAGCGAGGGAGAAGUUUGAGUGAGUACAUCUCGGUGGGUUCAUCGCGAUUUCGCAUCGCAACUACUCCGCCAGCUGACGUUUGUCCAUCCCCCCCCCCCCCCCCCCGGACUUUACAUCCGAAGUCGGUCGUGCACAAUAGAUUUCGGGACAGGUGUGCUGGGUCAGGGUCAAUUUUGGCUUCUCGGGUGGCAGGAGGAAAAUUUUGAUGGUUCCGAGGCGGGGGUGAGUGAAGGCGAAUGAUGGGUUUCGAAGCUUGACGGUGUUUGGGUUAGAGUGGCGGCGCGGUGCGUCUAUGUGUUGUUUUGGGUUGGUGCCGUGAUCGGAGCACGAAGAGAUAGAUGCGGGGAAUCACCUGAUAGAGUGGGUUGCACACGCGCAGGGUUCCGUCAGAUAGCUUCCGAAAUGGCCUAGUGUUUGACAUUCGAGCUCAUAAUCAAGUGAAGUGACUUUGGUUUUGGUGUCCGCCAUUCAUUACCCUGAAAGUGUUCCGUAGCUGGUUCGACAUCCGCGAGGCGCCCAUGUUUCUCCCGAGGCGGGAAGGACUAGUAUUGGGUGCAAUCUGCGGGCUAGCCAUGGAGGAUGCGUUCGUACUCGAGUUUGCUGUUGUUUCAUGUCCACAGUGCGCGCUGGAAGAAUUCCUAAUAUCUUGACGUCGCUGUCAAGCACAAGGCCAGCCUGGUAUUGGCAAGGGAGUGGCAUGGUAGAAGAUUGAGCGGCGGAAUUGGCAGAGGAUGUCAUUUGGAUGUUAUGUGGAGAAAUGAGAUAUUAAUUUAUGAUUUACUGUCUGGCUUUUGUUUUGUUUUGUUUUGUUUUUUUUUUUUUAAUAUUUCUAAGCUACAUGCGUCGGAAAGGCCUUGUGUACACGAUUUCAAGUUUCAUUUGGAGUUACAGCACUGAAUUACGUGUGGUGUAAACCUAGCGCACUGCACAUGAAAUCUGCUCUGAUGGUUUAUGCAAUUUGUGACUACUUUAAUAUCACGCACCAGAAGACUGGAGCACCAUCUGCAUAUAUUCGUCGCAAUUAUCAGCUGUAGAAUGCUGUCAUUCUUGUUCAAAUUCAUCUACCAUGGACUUGGGCUCUGGAUCUUCACUUUAUCGCUGGCUUUAGCAGUGGCUGAACCCUUGCGAGGGGGAGAGCCAGCAUCUCUCACAAUAUCGAAUGGAGACGCGAGUGCUGGCUUAGGAAGAGGUUUGCAAUCCGAACCCUCAUCAGAUGAAUGGCUUAAGCAAGAUCAAAGCGCUCUGAAGAGUUGGGCACUCUCGCUUCAGAACCAAACGUAUAACAUCAAGUUGCGUUGGUUAUCCGACAACGCUUCUACACCGUGUGCAUGGUAUGGAGUGCAAUGCGGGGUUUCGGAAGGAGUUGCUCGAAUUACUAUUAUUAAUUUUUCUCUUUUCAACCUCACAGGAACUAUGCCUUCUGGACUUGGGAGACUUACAGGUCUUCGCACUUUAAACUUGGCUAACAAUAACUUUAGUGGAGGGAUUUCAGAUGACAUCGGGAACAGUUUCAAUCUUAAGGAAUUGGAUCUGUCUUUCAAUGCUUUCUCAGGAAACCUUCCCAAAGGGCUUUUUGAUAACUGCCAGAAUUUGGAGUAUUUUGAUGUGUCACAUAAUAAUUUGGAAGGGCCGGUACCACAUGAGCUAUGGAGUUGCUCAAAUCUCCAAACGGUACGACUUAGGAACAACAAUUUCACUGGUGACUUGGCUUCUAGUAUUGCUCAACAAGGCAGCUUCUUAAAAAAGCUCGAAAAUCUCGAUUUGUACCUGAAUGGGUUUACUGGAAAUUUGUCAGAUGUCGUCGAUUCGAUUACGUGUUCUAGCCUUGCGCACCUUGACCUUUCCUUCAACUACUUUAGUGGAGUUAUUCCUGCCUCCUUGGGGCGGUGUAGCAACCUGUCUUACAUCAAUUUUCAAGAGAACGAUCUGGCUGGGACUAUACCGGAAGAAUUGGUUCAAUUGCAGAAACUUGAGUCUUUGGGAUUAGGCUCGAACAAUCUCUUUGGGACGCUUCCUGAAAGUUUUCUGCAGUUCCCAGCGCUCUCGGCGAUCGAUGUGAGUCAAAACUUUCUUUCUGGAGUCGUACCAAAAUGCUUGAGUGAAAUGCCCAGCCUUCGCUACUUCGUUGCCCAUAGCAACAAUAUAUCGGGUCUAAUUCCCCUUGAACUUGCCCAUGCACCAACGUUGUACCACUUGGACCUGGGUAACAACAGCUUGAGCGGGGAAAUCCCUCCGGAACUUGCAAAUCUCACUACCCUGCGAUUUCUGCGCUUGUCUAAUAAUCAGUUACAUGGUUCGUUGCCAUCAGCGUUUGGAAAUUUGACAUCCUUACAAGCGCUGGACUUGUCUGCGAACAACCUUAGUGGGCCAUUACCGUCCUCCUUUGGGAACCUCCUGAGUCUCCUAUGGUUGCAACUGGCUGAGAAUCAACUGGGUGGUUCAAUUCCGGUGGAAAUAACGGGAUGCAGCAGUUUGCUGUGGCUGAACCUGCGCAACAAUCGUUUUUCAGGGACGAUCCCUCGUGACCUCUUCUCCAUGGGCUCACGUGCAGGUGCCGAGUUUUCCUUUAUCCAAAAGUCAAACGACUUCCCUCCUAUUAGCUUUGGUGAGUGCUCCUUGGCACAGAGCUGGAUACCUGAUGAUGUGGUUCCGUUUCGCAACAUGGUGAAGGAUUUAAGGCAUGAUCAAUGCCGACAACGGUGGGUGGAUAUGUUGACUGGAAAGAAGUUGAGUUUGGGAUAUUGGCAAUUAUCCAACAAUAACUUCAGUGGGCCAAUUCCUAUGCCAGUCACUGGAAGUAUGAACUUAUCCUGUCUUCUACUGUCAAACAAUAUGCUCUCAGGCUCGAUUCCAUAUAACAUGGACGAAGUUCCAUUGUAUAAUAUAGACCUGACAAACAAUAGCAUUGAUGGGCCCAUUCCAGAUAUCUUCGAGAGGCUGGCACCAACUCUUCAGAGCCUGCAUCUUUCCUACAACCGUCUUUCGGGGUUCUUCCCUAGCUCUUUAAACAAGCUGAGCUUCCUGUCUACCUAUAAUUUCUCCUUCAAUCCUGAUCUCGAGGGCCCAGUGCCGAACAACGCAUCGUUUCGAAAUUUUGACCCAACUGCUUAUCUCAACAAUAGCAAGCUGUGCAGGUGGGCAGAUGCCACUCAGAAACCAGUACCGCAGGAAAUGAAAUUUUGCUCCAACUCGUCCGCCUUAGGGUUGGCGCCACCUCGCAUGGAAGGUCGAAACGGAUUCUCUAAACACGUGGUGUUGAUUUGCACUCUCAUUGGCGUCUUCGGUGCCAUUUUGCUGUUCCUCGCAGUGGGUUCAAUGUUUCUAUUGGCCAUGAAGUGUCGAAAUCGUCACUUUCUUGGGAGGAAGCAAGUUGCUGUGUUCACGGACGCCGACAACGAUUGCAGGGUCUACGACGCGUUGCCUGUGAACCUCUUCGUCUCAGUUACAUGCUUUGGCUCUUUGAAGGCCCUUACGUACUCGGAUCUUGUGCUCGCAACUGAUAAUUUCAGCUCAGCUAAAAUCAUCGGAGAUGGAGGAUUUGGAAUGGUUUAUAAGGCCAAGUUAGCAGAUGGCACAACGGUUGCCAUCAAGAAACUUGUGCAAGAUGGCGCUCAAGGAGAUCGGGAGUUCCAAGCGGAGAUGGAGACGUUGGGCCGCAUUAAACACACGAAUUUGGUGCCUUUGUUGGGAUACUGCUGCCUGUCGAGGGAGAGGUUGCUUGUUUAUAAGUGCCUUAGCAAUGGGAGCUUGGAUGAUUGGUUGUACGAGAGCGAGGAUCGCGCAGCUGUUCUUACGUGGCCGCUGCGUCUGCGAAUUGCUGCUGGAAUAGCUCAGGGGUUGUCUUUUCUCCACCAUCAAUGCGAGCCACUUAUCAUCCACCGUGACAUGAAAACUAGCAACAUUCUUCUUGACGAGAAUUUUGACGCUUGCUUAACAGACUUCGGCCUUGCGCGUAUUGUGGACCUACAAAUGUCACAUGUGAGCACUGUGGUGGCAGGUACCCCUGGGUAUGUGCCACCAGAGUACGGAGAGACCUGGAGGGCUACUGCCAAAGGAGAUGUGUACAGCUUUGGCGUUGUCAUGUUGGAGCUUGCCUCGGGAAAACGGCCAAUUGGUCCUGAUUUCCAGGGAUUAGAAGGUGGAAAUUUAGUGGGAUGGGUGAGGGCUCUUAUGAAAGCAGAUCGUCACACAGAGGUCUAUGACCCCAUCGUGAUGCGAACCGGUGACGCUGAAUCACUUCAGGAGUUUUUAGCUUUGGCAGUGUCAUGCACGUCGGCUGAUGUGCGGCCUCGUCCCACUAUGCUACUGGUCUCUGCGAAGCUGGAGGAGCUUAAAUUGAGGCUCAAGUUGGAGGAGCCACAAACUAAUACUUCCCAUCAAUAUAGCUCCAUUAUAUCGGAUAUCAAGGACAUGUGAUUGAGAAGCUGUCUCAUGGAGCGGUCUCUCCCAUGGACGGUAUUCAAAUCAUUCAUAGGUCGUGUGCUACAGAUUCAUCCAACUCGUGGUUGCUAGUGUCGGUGUUCUCGCAUUCUAUGUGGACGUCCAAGGCUGGCUUGUAAGAUUUGGUGGAAAAGAGGAACUAGUCGCUCUUCAUGAUACGAUUAUCUUUGUACUAAAACCUCAGGGCUGGACUUGAGCAAGGGAUCGACCUCGAUGCAUGUUGGAGAGGAAGCUGUAAAUACUAAGAGAGUUUUAAUUCGUGAAGGUUGGCUGAUACUUUUGACAAUCUAGCUAUAUCAUUAGACUUGUACAUUUCAGUUUUGACCGAUGACAAUCAGAAAUCUGCUGUUACCACUCGUGAAAGGCAGGAUGUUGUAGAUGGGGUGACGCGGGGGAGUAGUUCCUUAGACAUAAGUUCUUCGAAAGCUGCACUUUCCCCUAUACUUGCGUUACUGUUUGAGUGCUAUAGAUACAAGCACGCAUCACCUGCAGUAUCUUUUCGCAGAUCAGAGGAGCGAGCGUACUUGGGACGAUUAGAACAACUGCACCAGUUCGUAUUCCUGCAACCAUAGGUGCCCUUACUGGAAAGGACAAUUUGUAAGAUGAAGACUUCUUCAAUUUCAACGGACGAACCCAUGGCGAUCAAGGACUUGGUUGGGCGUUGACGGAAUCAGACAGCAUGCCAUUUAUUAUUGUCGAUGGAGAGGCUUGUGCAGUUUAUUAUGAUGUGUAACGAGUUAAUGCUGAAGAGUAGGGAAUGUGGCAAACAAACUAUCGUUGACUGAUCCAAUUCAGCUUAACUCACAGGUUCAGAAAUGACACUUGUGACAUUUGGCAGUGAUCUUCGUUUUAGUUCCACGAACUCCGCCAGGUUGUAUAAAAUUUGUAGGUCAGGUGUAUUGCACGACAGGACUAUUACCGGCCCUGGUUGGCGGUUGUAAUUAUGUUUGUAUGGUAUUCUAGUCAUCAACCCCUUUCUGUA